CAGAAAUGGUGGUCAACAGCAGACGGGCCAAAUGGCCCCCAUCCCGUGGACUGUGCACUAUAAUUUCAUGACAACAGUGCAUUGAGGAAGUACAAGGGAAAACAAUAACAGAAUGCAGAAUGAAGUGUUACAGAGAAAGUGCAGUGCAGCAGCAGUCCAAUGGCAGAGCCCCUGUCAGCAGACUGACCUACAAGCACACUGUGGAGGAGUAGCAAACAACUUUUCAGAGAGUCCUAUGGCACGGAAACAGGCCCUCCGGCCCAAUUCGUC